GUCGAGCGGUAGAGAGAAGCUUGCUUNUCUUGAGAGCGGCGGACGGGUGAGUAAUGCCUAGGAAUCUGCCUGGUAGUGGGGGAUAACGUNCGGAAACGGACGCUAAUACCGCAUACGUCCUACGGGAGAAAGCAGGGGACCUUNNGGCCUUGCGCUAUCAGAUGAGCCUAGGUCGGAUUAGCUAGUUGGUGGGGUAAUGGCUCACCAAGGCGACGAUCCGUAACUGGUCUGAGAGGAUGAUCAGUCACACUGGAACUGAGACNCGGUCCAGANUCNUACGGGAGGCANCAGUGGGGAAUNUUGGACAAUGGGCGAAAGCCUGAUCCAGCCAUG
rnacentral:rRNA from 1 species